UACGUAGGUGGCAAGCGUUAUCCGGAUUUAUUGGGCGUAAAGGGAACGCAGGCGGUCUUUUAAGUCUGAUGUGAAAGCCUUCGGCUUAACCGGAGUAGUGCAUUGGAAACUGGGAGACUUGAGUGCAGAAGAGGAGAGUGGAACUCCAUGUGUAGCGGUGAAAUGCGUAGAUAUAUGGAAGAACAGCAGUGGCGAAAGCGGCUCUCUGGUCUGUAACUGACGCUGAGGUUCGAAAGCGUGGGUAGCAAACAGG
rnacentral:rRNA from 1 species